CGCGGUAUUUUGACCGUGCGAAGGUAGCAUAGUCAUUAGUCUUUUAAUUGAAGGCUUGUAUGAAGGGUUAGACGAGAAAUCAGCUGUCUUUAUUGAAAAGAUGGAAUUUAACUUUUAAGUGAGAGGGCUUAAAUAUUCUAAAGGGACGAUAAGACCCUAUAAAGUUUGAUAUUUAAUUUUUUAAAAAAUAAGAUAAAUAGGUAAAGUUAGUUAGAAAAAAGAUGUUUUGUUGGGGCGACAAGAAUAUAAGUUAUAUAACUGUUUUUAUAUUUAUACAAGGAUAAUUGAAUUUAUGAACCUUUGUAAAGGUAGUAGAGUAAAUUACUUUAGGGAUAACAGCGUAAUUUUUUUUGAGAGUUCUUAUCGACAAAAAAGUUUGCGACCUCGAUGUUGAAUUAAAGGUUCUUUGUAAUGUAGCAGUUACAGGAGAAGGUCUGUUCGACCUUUAA
rnacentral:rRNA from 1 species